rnacentral:lncRNA from 1 species
ACAUGACCGGAUCACACGCCCAUGGGGUAGACUAUGUGUCACACACGGCCUAGACACAUGCCCAUGUGUCUACCCGUGUAGACAAAUUCUAGGCUAAUUUCCAAGCCAUUUGCCACCCUUAAAUGCUUACUCACUUAUACAUUUUUUAUGACAUGCAACAUAGCAUAUUUAGUCACUCAAAUACUCACAAUCAUGAUUAAUCCAUAACAUUGUAAUGUCAACAUAUCACAUGCUCAAACCAUCAUGCUUUCAUAUGGCAUUCCACACCAAUUUCAUAUUUAUUCAUCCUUAUAAACCUACCUUCAAC